rnacentral:lncRNA from 1 species
CACGUGCUUGCCAUCUGCUGGGCUAUGUGUUCCAUGAGGUUAGAGGCUGUGGCUGCCAUGUCCACCACUCUGUUUCUAGCACUGAAUCAGGGCCUGGCACCCAGAAACUACAGAAUAAAUAUUUAUUGAGUGAAUGCCUAGAGACUAAUCAUCAGCGACGUAAUCAUGUUAUUUGUCCUUUUCUACAACAAAUGUUUCUCAAAGGUCAGAAAUGAGAAGAUGAAACCAGGACCAACGUGGAUUAAAUAGAGUUUGUCUCUUCCAGAAUCAAAGCUGUAAAACUACAAAUCAUUCUUCAAAUGGAGCCCCAGAUGCAGUCCAUGACUAAGAUCUACCAUGGACCCCUGGACCGGCCUGCUAGCCCAUGCUCCGAAGUUGAUGACAUCGAAGGCACCCCUCCCAAGGAAAUUUCAACUGCACGACCCUUACUAUGCCCCAAUUCAGCAGGAAGCAGUUAGAGCUGUCGUCAGCCAACCUCCGCAAGAGCACUUGGGUUUUCCUGUUGAGAGGGGCUACUAAGAGACAGGACUAGCUGGAUUUCCUAGGCCAACUAAGAAUCCCUAAGCCUAGCUGGGAAGUUGACCACAUCCACCUUUAAACACGAGGCUUGCAACUUAGCUUACACACAACCAAUCAGGUAGUAAAGAGAGCUCACUAAAAUGCUAACUAGGCAAAAACAGGAAGUAAAGAAAUAGCCAAUCAUCUAUUGCCUGAGAGCACAGGGGGAGGGACAAUGAUCGGGAUAUAAACCCAGGCAUCGGAGCCGGCAAUGGCUGUCCCCUUUGGGUCCCCUCCCUUUGUAUGGGAGCUCUGUUUUUACUCUAUUAAAUCUUGCAAUUGCAAAAAAAAAAAAAAAUCCCUAGUGCCCAG